UACGUAGGGGGCAAGCGUUGUCCGGAUUUAUUGGGCGUAAAGAGCGUGUAGGCGGCUAGAUAGGUCCGUUGUGAAAACUCGAGGCUCAACCUCGAGACGUCGGCGGAAACCAUCUGGCUAGAGUCCGGAAGAGGAGAGUGGAAUUCCUGGUGUAGCGGUGAAAUGCGCAGAUAUCAGGAAGAACACCCGUGGCGAAGGCGGCUCUCUGGGACGGUACUGACGCUGAGACGCGAAAGCGUGGGGAGCGAACAGG
rnacentral:rRNA from 1 species